ensembl:lncRNA UFL1-AS1 UFL1 antisense RNA 1
GGGCGGAAGUGCCGUGGUUGUACCGCGGCGCUGGGGGUUCCUCCCGGCGAGACUGGCGGGGCUGCGGCGGCUAGGAGAGUGUCAAUGGAAGCAUUUGAGAAAAAAACACCUUUCAAAGUGAAACUGUAUUAUGUUACUGGAACAUUUGUUAAAAAUCUAUUAACCUCUAAGAAGCCAAGAACAGAAAUUCAGCAAUAAAAGGUACUCUCAGAAACCACCUCUGGCCUGAAAAGGGGCCGACUGAAACAUAUACCUAUUUGAAGAUCCCUGGCACACAGAUACAGCAGAAGAAGCCCAAAUGUGUUAUCAAACCAUUGAGAGAAACAGAACUUUCCUCAAAGCCAAGAAACAGCUUUCAAAAGGAAGUUUCCCAAAAACUCUUCUAAAAGUACCAGCAUAUCUUCAAACCAAGUAACGUUUUUUUCAAUGCUAUCCUUAACUGUUCUACUUUUAUUUGCUUGUAGAAAAGUGGCACAACCUAGACUGUCAUCGCUAAAGCCAUGACUAAAAUUUUUAGUAUUUUGUAACCACAUCAGAUUUGUGAACAUCUCCCAGUUGAUAUAAUCACUUAUUUACUCGCAUAUUGAGACUGUACCAUAACUUUGUGGUUCAGAUGGAAUUCGUUAGAAAACUAAACUGUUUUUAAAAACGUUAUGUUUUUGUUUUUCUCGUUAUAAAUUUACCUUCACAGUUUGCAAAUGCAUUAGUAUAAUCAUCUGGUAAAAAAAUGGCAACUCUUGAUUUGAUACAUUUUUAAAAAACAAGUACACUCAGGCAAAUUUUAUAAAUUCAAAACUCACAGUGUUUUGUUUUUAUUUAUAUAUUUUUCUUACAGUUUUCUUUGUUUACUUUUAAUAAUUUGUUAGUACAUCCAAUAUCUACCAAGAUGUAAUAAUCAAAUGUUCUAUUUGCAUUGGAAAAACGUUCUCACUUACAUAGCCUAAGGGCUUUAAAAAAGUUUUUCUUUGUAUUAAGAUGAUAUCGGUAUUAUAAAAAUAAACAAAUUCUCAAAAAAGGGCUAUAUUUCAUGAAGAACAACUUUGAUGUCAUGAAUUUUAGCAGAUUGUGGCUAAAAAGAUGAGUGAAGGCUUUUUUUUUAAAGAAAAAAGUGUUUUCAAGUUUUUUUCUCUUCGGCAUUCAUGCCUCUUUAUGGCUAUGAACACAAAAAUAUAUUUGCAAAAACUGUUUAUUGAUAAAAUUCUCACGGGUCAUUUGAAAUUCAUGUUGCUUCUCUUACGAAAAUAAUAUGGCCUAUAAAUUUCAGACUCAUUAAAGUAUUUUGAAAUUUUGACAGAAACUAGCAUAGAAACAUUAGAUGUUUCCUUCCAAAAAACGGGAGAAAUUAUCCUUCAUUUAAUUACCUAAAUAUAUGUGAACAUUAAAAAAAGCACCUUCUUUUGCUAUGUAGUUUUUCUUAAAGCAUAUGAGACUCUCUGAGUAGCAAAGCUUGACUGUGAGUCCAAAGAUUUUGGACACUGCAUUCUAGAUCACUCCCAGAACUAAGGUAUUGGAAUCAGAGAUUGCAGCUUCCUGUCAAAGUUGGUUUCAGUUCUAUAGUCAAUAAGAAAAUGAAAACAAAAGAUACAUAUCAAAUAUGUCUAGGUGCUAAAUUAUUAAUCAAUCCUUGGAAUACAGAGAAAAUCAGGAAAGAAUUAUGAAGGAAAUUUCAGUUAUUCAGAAUUAAAUGACAUUAAAUGACACUGAAGGUUCUACAAGCCAAAUUUUGUUGUAUAUUUAAACAGAAGGAAAUUAUAGCUUUGCACACAUUUCAGAAAAUUAACAAAUCGGUCAACUCAAGAAGCUAUACAAAGAAAAAUGGUAAAAUGCUAAAAAAAUAAGAAGGAAAAAUGUUAAGGUAAGGGCCAGAAAUUUGAAAUGAGUAAUAAUGUCACAAUAUUUGAAAAUACUCAAACUUUAGGCAAGAAUAAUGAAGAAAAAAGAAAUUCAAAUGUAAUACCAAAAAUAGCAAAUAAUUGUUGAUUUAGCAUAGAUAAAAAUUGAAGUAACUAUUUUGAGUAAUUUUAUGUUGAAAAAUUUGAAAUAUGACUAAAUAGUUGUAUUUUUGUACAAAUACAGAAAUACCAAUAUUUGUGAAAGAAAAAUUCUGAUUCAGCAGUUAACAGUUAAAGAAAUGGAAUUCAUAAACAACAACAACUAAAGGCAAAUACUAGGUCUAAAUGGUUUUCCUAUGAUAUCAACAAUUCAAUAAAUUAGGAAUACCAUCCACCUUUUUUAAAAAUUAUUUUGGAAAAUACAAAAAUUAAGAAAGAAGCUUAGCUCAUGAGGUCAAUUAUAAUCUUGUUACCCAAGCAAGAUAUGACUUUGUUUAAAAAAAAAAAGUCAUUUGUGCUUAUGAACACAGAUGCAAAAAUACAAAAAUUCAGCAAUAAUAAAUAUUAGAAAUAGAUCGUGAUGUGAUUCAAGAGUACGUUUAUGGAAGUUUAGUUGCAUUUGAUCCUAAGUAUAAAUUUAAUUGGACAAUCUCUCAAUUCCAUCUAGACUCCAGAACUUACAGACUGAAAAACCUUACUGAAAGGGUCUCUUUUCAUUGGAAAAACAUUAACUUUUAAUAUGAAUGAUUUGACUGACUGUUGCAGUGUUUUCUUCCUGUGAGACCAAUGUUUAAUGUUUUUAGAAAUACUCUGAUUAAAAGUUUCCUUAAAUCCUUUUUGAACUGAAAUGCAAUGGCAAAAACCAUUAAAUAAAUGAUGUCAGUUCAAUAUAAUCAGGUUAUAAAUGAAAUAGCCACCAUUUAAUAAAUGCUCACCCUUAGCCAGGCCUUGUGCCAAGCAUUUUACACACAUCAUUUCCUUUAAUCCUUCUAGAACCCCUAAAAAGGACACCUUUUCUCAUCCCUUCACAGAUGAGGAAAUUGCAGGCCACAGAUACAAGUAACCAGCUUAACCACUGGAUUGUGCUCUCUCUUUCCUUCUGUAAUCUACUUUGAACAAAUAAUACAAACGUGAAUAAUCCAUUUGCUAUUGGUAUCUCAAGUUUUGUUGUCUUGAUUUCCCUGGUCUCUACCUUUUAUUCUGUAAUUAAGAACUAUUUAACGAUGAGUUGAAUUUAGAUUAAUUUCUUUUAACAAGGGUAUCUGACACAUAUAUAUGGCACUUAUUAGUGUCAAACACUGAUCUGAGCACUUAUAUUAACUUAUACACACACACACCUAUUAACUCAUUAUAUCCCCAUUUUAUUGAUAAAGAAACUGAGGCCCAAAAUGAUUAAGUGACUUGUCCAAAACCACACAGAGAGUUAAUGGCACAAAAUACUUUUCAAGCCCAGGCCACCUGGCUUUAGAAUCUGGGCACUUGAUAAUUAACAUUUUAGAUCACUGAUUCCCCAGGUUGCAGCCAGAAUAUGCAAUCAUUUUAGUGAUACCAGAAUGUAAGCUUUGUGAGGGGCUUUGUUUUCUUCACUGCUGUAUCCUUAUCACCAGAAUGUAGUAGAUGCUUAAUAAAUGCUGUAUGUCUCAUA